AUGCUGAAAUUGAAAAAGACAGGAUGAGUCACCUUUGCCCUGUCUCCUCUUCAAGUCUGAUCCUAAUUGAACGGAGAGUGCAAACUGCACGCCAAGAUUUGCAGAACAAAGGCCUCCCCGCCCACGAGUUCCUCAUGGCCUUGCCUCAGUCCCCGAAAUCCCGCUGUUAGCCUCCCUCACUAGAAUAAGGCAUUAGCACAGAAGCCAACGUUGGGGGAAAAGAAAAUCAAUACAGCGUGGAAGAGAAAGCAGGAAGCCAUGGAGGGAGGAAGAGACUGAGGCUCCGGCUGGAAGGACUUCGUUUGUGAUAAGAGCAGAGAGGAAAAGCAGCAAGAAAGAAAAGUCGCUGUACACUUUGGGUCUGGACAUCAAAGAAACAAAGGAAAUGCUUAGAUUCAGAGUGGCACGUGUGUAGAAAAAAGUCCUGCUUUCCUGUCUUGGGGGACACCACUAUCAUCCCAUGGCUGAGACCUGCGUCUGGUCCCUGCUAGACACCCAGCGAGGGUUGACAGCAUGAGCGAAUGAGCUUCUCCGUCUGCCCUAUUCUUGCACCGGAAAGCAGCAUGAAUGAGGACUUGGAAAGCCCCCGCUUGCCUACGAAGGCGUCAUGGAAGGAUGUGGCAUUGGACAGGUGAUGCAGUCACAGCCUCGCCCUAGGCCACUCCGGGUCUCUGCUGCCAGGCUACGAGGAGCAGAGAAACACAGGUCCUCUAGCGCAGGUGAGGAACUUUGGGAAAUUAUUUGAUCUUGUCUUAGGGAAUACCACGAGCAAAGCUUAUUACACGGCUUGGGACAAAUAUAUGGGUCAAAAAAUCACCCCAAAACAUGAAAGAACUUUAUACAAAGGGGAUCCACUUGGGAGGGCUUAGACCCAGCACCACGAGGUUUCCAGUUGUGUUCAGCCUCAUUUCACAUCUAAUGACUGUUCUGAGACUGCAUGUUGGCCUUACCAUUGGAAGAGAACAAUGGGAGUCAGCACUUAAUCAUUUUGUAGUGGUGAAU
rnacentral:lncRNA from 1 species